UACUAUGCCUGGAAGGCACCAAGCUCUGCCUCUUGGCAGAAGUGGCUUCUGUUUGCAUAGUUAUGGC
ensembl:miRNA